ACCAAAACUGCUCUUGUCAAGGUCACCAUUCAGCAAGCCUGGGAUCCUCUCAGCAAAUCCGGCUGCCUCUACAGUUUAUUCUGCCACUCCCCAGCGUCCCUGCAGGUCAGGGCCAUGGUGACACUUAAAAGCAAUUUACAUAGUUGCAUCUCCAGACUGCAGCUGCGAAACCAACUGGCACCUAUUAUUCUGGGACUGAAGUACACAGAGAAAACUACCCAACCAGAUAUACCCAGCCUUGUGAGUCCUACCCAGAUCCAAAAGGACAGCAGGGGAAACCUCUAAAGAAGAAUCUUGAUGUUAUGAUUUGGGAACAAGAUGUAGAGAACAGCACUAGACUUGACAUGCCAGCAAACUCAGGAACGCCCUGUGCUGAGCUUCAACUGAGCCUCACACUGCUCCCAACCAGUGGACACGGCUUUACCACCACUACAGCACAGUUAAGAAACUGAAGGGUAGGAAGUCCCUGCUUUUCGUGCACUGCCCACCAGAGGAAACCACUCCUCACACUGCUGCGUGAGAAGCACGUUUAUAAUGCCCCCAGCCCCACCCCACUAACCAGCUGCUCUUGGGCAGUGGUUACCAGACUUAAUUUCACACACGAGUUCAAUUCAGAAGUGAAACAAAACCAAACCAACCUAGGGAAUGCAGCCUUCUAUUUUAGUAUGGAUAACCAACAAAAACCACUAUCAUUACCUUUUUCUUUCACAGAAGAGAAGGAGGAAAUUUCUGGCUCCAUAGUUUGGGUACACUUAAGAUCUGUGCAUUUUACUGAAUGUAAAGAUUACUCAAAACCAACCCACCCACCCAAAAACAAACACUGAUAUGCAUGCUAAGGUGACUGGGGGUGAAAUGUACUGGUGUCUGACACUUCCUUUCAAGCGGUUAAAAAUCAGAUGGAAGGUGAUAAAACAAAUGUAACAAAAUGUUAAUAAAUUACAGAAUCAAGGAUCUAUGGAAAUUUAUGGUGCAACUCUUUACAA